AAAGAUAAGCCAUGCUUCUGAAAUUUGAGAAGAAACAGAAAGAAGAUUGCUAUUCUUAGCUUGAUAGCACUGAAAAUGUUUCCUAGAAGAGAAAAUGUUCCUUUUCCUUAAGAAACCAAGCUGAUACAUGCUCAAACCCAUUACCAUGGGAAAUUCAAAUCCCUUGCUGGAAAAUACAGAAAAAUUCAAACUCUUUUCUUCAGCUACCUUGUUGGUUAUAAAAAUACAGAAAUCCAGAGAACUAAUCAUAAUCUUCUAAACCUAGCUACUUAAAAAAAAAUUAUCUAUGUUGCUACAUUCUUUAUUAGAGAACCUGUCCACCAUUUCUUCUGUAACAAUGGUGUGGAAACAUCUUUCCAAGCAGACAAGUAGUAAAGCGGUCAGGUCUAACUUGCACAUGGCAAAGUGUCAUAAGGUGGAAGAAGAGAUAGAGCAGCAGGUGGGACAAAUGUUUAUCAGCUUUUCUGACAAAGACAUGAUGAGAUUGAGCAGUAGUGGGGAGUUGGUUGAACUGAGUGCUGGAGGAUGCUCCUGCUCCCAAGCUGUGAGAGUAACUACACACUGGAAGAGCACAACAGGCUGGGCAGGAUAUCCUACACCUUCGAAUGAGCCCUUUAACAAAACACCAAUACAAAGGCUGCCCUGUGACUCCCUGGAGCCCUCCCACCAGCUCUGGAGUAGUUCAUUUCAACAAACAGAAUGGAUCCCCUCAACAUGUUGUGAUGGGUGCAAAGCCAGCUGACUGCUGUGCCCUUCCUGUUAUUCUGGGACAGGAGUCAGACUUGGUGCCGAGCCCAGGCUGGGAUGGCUCUGCCAAAGGUCACCGCCAGCCCUCGCUGCGUGUGGCUCGCUGAUGUCAGCCCUGCUUCACCUGGAGAGGAACUGUGGGCAAAACACACCGAUGAGCACGCGGAUCACUCACCCAGCUGUGCCCAGCCUUGUUUUCCAGAGUCACAGCUUGGAGAAAGGCUGGGGCUUCUUGGCAUUGGAAACAAAAAUCUUUUGUUUAUAGACCAAGCAAUAGCAGCAUCAUCUUUCCUCAAACUGACCUGCCAGCACUCAGCUCUGUCUUCUGCCACCUUUAGGGCACAGUGGAGUGCAGGCUCCACAGCCCAUUCAGUUUUCCAUCUCGUGGAGAAGGCUACCAACAAAAGUACCGAGAAGUGCCAGCUGCAUCACCACUGGCAAGCUUAAUAAAGUAAACAUGGACAGUGAUUAUGUCACUGCAGAAGAGAACUGUUGUGCUAGAGCCAGGAAGCUGGCCACAAAGAUGUGGAAAGGAAGAUUUACCAAGUCCUAACACCAUGGGAGCACAGGGGUCAGAAUUACUCUCUUCAACAUUCCCUGAAACCAUCAUUUUACUUCUACUUACCCUAGCAACCACACAUUAAGGAAUACAGUCAUGGAACUCACUGCAGAGCACUGCAGUAUUGGAGUGGCCACACCUGCAGGAGAGGAUCCCCAGCACUACCCACUGGCAAACACAAGCGAAACAACACACUUCCCAUUCUGGUCCCAGGCAUGUCCUUACUCCACCUGCUUCUACAGAGAUUUGCAUUAACUGCUGUUCAAAAUCAGUGGUACUGACGUAGCAUCAUGAUUAUGUAGCAAAAUAUAUCAUCCAAUCAAUUUGGAUCACUGCAAAUACCC